UUAGAAGCACUGGCAUGAAGUUACAAAACUUCAUAUAUAUUUCAUUAUUUGAUGACAUUGUCAUCAACCACAAAAACUCCUAAGAAAUGAUAAUAAUUACGUGUACUCAGCUACAUUUUCUCUAAAAAUUUCCACAUGCUCUGAGUGUGGGAGAACUGACUCAUUCUUUAUAAGUAGAACACAGUAUAAAUCCUGCUAAUUAUUUGUGCUGAGCGUGGUAUCUACAAUUCAUCUAUUAUUUGAGUUACAAGGCUCUGGUUCUUUUUUAGUAAAGAUUACAGCUGGGUAUGCUACAGGCACUCUGCAAGAUCUUGAGAAAUCACGUUCCAGAAUGGGUUAGAAAUACUUUAAAUGUACUUUUGUUCAACACAUUUUAACACUCUUCUUUGGAUAUACACCCCAUGAAAUGAAAUAAACUCAAAAAAAGACAAAAAAAGAAAGUCCCAGCUACAGCUGGAGUUCAGAAAAAGAUAAAAUCCAUCAUUAAGAAAUAUCAUGUGUUGUUAAAGGAUUCUUUGAAGGAGUGGAAGUGAUUUCCCUGCCGUUUAUUAAUCCUCUAUUAUCAAAAGCCAUGUUCCAGAAUAACUCUUAGGAUUAGCUAACAGGUUGUUAAUUAGUAGUCACUAUUAUAAAAAAAUUAAAGACAAGGGAAUAACAACUCAACAGGAACCACGACACAUGAUAGACCUCAUUCAGACCAUUUAAAUGAUCUGUGUUGAGAAUACUGCCCAUGCCCAGAUCUGCCAUGAAUCUGCCCAAUUCCACCACUGAACCAACCACAGCAUAAAAAUUUAUUCGUAGCAGCAAGUGUUUGUAUAAGCUAAGAAAAAAUGGCAAUAAAAUGGGAAGAAGAAAGGAAAAUGGAGAUGAGGAAAGCAGCAAACGAGAUGACGCAAAUUACAUCAAGCUUGAAAGAACUUGUCAAGGCCUUAUCCUAGAUCAGUUCCUGUAGAUAGCUGAUCUGCUCCACCUUUCUGAUCAACUAAAAUGAAUCCUGCUGGAUUUCAGUCCAUUUGCAUCCAGACCUAUGUAUGUGUCUGGCUGUCUCUAGGAUAUACAUUGGGAAACUAAUAGAAAGUACUCAAUGGCAUCAGUCAGAUAAGAUAUGUGAACCUGAUAAGUUCAUUUUAAGGAUACCAUUACAAAACUGAGCUCUGCAAUCAGCAGUAAUAGGAAGAAUUAAGAAUGGGAACAGACUGCAUGUAAGAAUCAAAAAUUCCUGCCAAUCCUCUAGAAAAAAUUAUCUGCAAAGAAGCUGCUGUGUGCCUUGAGAUAUUUACAGACAGCACCAAGGGAAAAACCCAAAGAAAUCUGCUAACAAAAGUACCUUGGAGAUUAAGUGUACCUGAAGAGAUGGACUGGAGGAGAGUUCAGCAGGUUUCCACAAACCUCAGAGGCCUGGCUACAAGGACACUUGUACUGCAGAGACCCUGAUACAGGAGGUGUGACAACAAUCUGACUCUCACGGGGCAGUUCUGCAGGGCUUCCAAGAAACAGGGUUCCCAUCAGCAACCCAGGCAUUGCCUGAAGAGGACAAUUUGAAUGCUCAAGACAAUACAGACCUUAGACAUGUGUGCCUGCUCUGUAAAAAACAUUUCCCUACUGUACAACUGUAUUUGAAGAGGCUUUGGGUAACAGACAUUUGCAUUGCUGGCAAAGUGGAGAACCUGGGAUGAACCAAUUCUUGCUCUUGACAGAUUCCACUACUCCCUACCCAAGGGUACUUGAGAGGGCAAGUGUUGCAUGACCUCUUCUGCCUAUGGAUAUGACAGUCGACACAGGACGAGAAAGUUAGCAGCAUUGAAUGGCUGCAGACAGACUGAAACUGUGAUCCAGAUGAAGUCAGCAUCAGUUCUGCCACUGGCAAUGAUUUUGCUGCAUCUGGAUGCCUCAAACAUUUGCACCAUCUGUUACUGCUUCUCUGCAACAAAAAAAUCCCUCCCUCAUCUGACGUUCACAUCAGCAAAGAGCUGUUGUCUCUCUCCAUUCUAGCCUUUCCACACAACUUCUGAAGGCAAAAAUGAUCUUUCACUAGGCCAGAAUACUAUCCUGUACAUUGAAUGGUGCCUAACUUGCCCUGGGACAUCACCAAUAGGUUUUUCACAGGGUUAAUGAUUUUGGGAAGCUCUGAAAAGCAUUAACACGGACAGCAAGAAAUACAGAACUAAGUUCAUGGCAAUGGAAGUCAAGAGUCUCAUGAGACUGUCCUAAGUGCAGCUGUCCCAGGAAAAGGGCAUUCACCCCAUCACAGAGAAGGAAAAAAAUAAUCAGACCUUGGCUUAUGAAAGGUGACAAAUUUAAAUAGAAGAAACAUUAUACUUCCUGUUCAAAUAACUGCAUGGAUCAGUACAAACCCUGUACUGAAGGACAGAAGUUGGCUGUGGUUACAAAUGGGGAGUAAAUGCACUCUUUGACACUGCCUCCUACAAUAUAUCAGGAAAUAAAAAGGCCUGUUGAAAACAAUUUUCCCUGCCAGGUAUCUUCAAUGGCCCACUUUUAAUGAGAUUAUCAAAACAGUUAUUUCACAAGAUACUAGAAAUUCAACAGAUUUAUGGGGAAUGGUAACAAUAGAUCAAUUGGUUCAUUAGAAAAACAAACAAGCUUUUAAAUGAGUCCUUCAAGCAGAAGCCACUAACAACACUAAGGAGAGGCUAGAGAAGCUAUUCUGAGCUUACAUUUAUGCUCAGAAACCCACCUUUUUUUAAAGGCUUAUAUUAAUUUUCUUGUGUAGGGUAACUUUCUGCUCAUUUCAAGGCCUAAGCAGCAUCACCAAACUUUCUUCUGCACAGGCUUCUCCUUCCUCCCUCUUCUAAAAGGACAAAUUGUUGUGAAGAAUAGAGUUCAAGCAUUGCUAUUCCUGUCCAGCUGAAGGCAGAAGCCAAACAGGAGAAGGUUGCUGUGUUAUGAGAUGUAGAUUAGAGGGGAAAACCAGCAACCUUUAUCAGGUCAUGCAAGUUAAAUAGGAAGAAACUGGCUCAUGAUACUUAAUAUGCUGCAUAUCCAGGAAUGCCCUGCAAAUAUUAACUAAUCCUCAGAAAACCCUUGAGAGAUAGGUUAAUAUAAACCAUUUAUAUGUGUGCAAGCAAACAGAGAUAUCAUCCAGAGCCUGCCUGUGUGCUUCGUUAGUGAUUCAGGAACUGCACUAGUUCAAUCAAAUGUCAUCUAACGCUCUCCACUCCUUCUGACUUCAGUGUUAGAAGAAAGCACAAUCAAUAUCAUGUUGAAGGUUCAAGCAUGGCCCAACCCUGUCAGACAAGCUGGGACCCAGAAUUUCUUGGAAUCCUGUGCAGGGAGGAGCGUAAUUUUAAAAGACUGGGAUGAGAAGCUAAGAAAAAGGCUGGCCAUUUCAGCACAGCUUUGGAAAUUUGGGGACUGGUCCAGGUGUGAAUCAGUAAAAUUUGUGUGUGGCAUUCACAUAGACACCAAAAAAGUUAUCCAGUUAGAGAAUUCUCACCAACAAAACUGAUAAGCUAAAAGGCAUAUUCCCAUUAAAAGCAUGUCCUCCUUGUGUGUUUAAUCCAGGAAUUUUAUACAACACUUCGAUAGCUAAAUUUAUACCCUUAUGUUUUGUCUCCUCAGUUUUAGUUUUCCUGUUUACUAAGGAAAAAAAAUCCUUAUUUAAGCUGGUAAGCACA